rnacentral:rRNA from 1 species
GGACCCGCACAAGUAGUGGAGCAUGUGGUUUAAUUCGAAGAUACGCGCAGAACCUUACCAACACUUGACAUGUUCGUCGCGACUCUAAGAGAUUAGAGUUUUCGGUUCGGCCGGACGAAACACAGGUGCUGCAUGGCUGUCGUCAGCUCGUGUCGUGAGAUGUUGGGUUAAGUCCCGCAACGAGCGCAACCCUCACUUUUAGUUGCCAGCAGUUCGGCUGGGCACUCUAUGGAAACUGCCCGUGAUAAGCGGGAGGAAGGUGUGGAUGACGUCAAGUCCUCAUGGCCCUUACGGGUUGGGCUACACACGUGCUACAAUGGUAGUGACAAUGGGUUAAUCCCAAAAAGCUAUCUCAGUUCGGAUUGUCGUCUGCAACUCGACUGCGUG